AUGCUCCUGGCGCUCCUCCCAGUGCUGGGGAUACACUUUGUCCUGAGAGAUGCCCAAGCUCAGUCAGUGACACAGCCCGAUGCUCGCGUCACUGUCUCUGAAGGAGCCUCUCUGCAGCUGAGAUGCAAGUAUUCCUACUCUGCGACACCUUAUCUGUUCUGGUAUGUCCAGUACCCGCGGCAGGGGCUGCAGCUGCUCCUCAAGUACUAUUCAGGAGACC